rnacentral:tRNA from 1 species
UUUACUUAUUACUAAUUUAAAACAUUUUGAUUUUUUAGUAUUGGUGACAGAACAAUAAAUCAGAGCAAUA